rnacentral:lncRNA from 1 species
AUGCCAAAACCCGCUGAUGAGAUGCCAACCGUGCCAGUUCACCAGCGAGGGCAGUAUGACGUCUCCAGCUUCCUGAAGGUCAAGCCACUGGCUCUGGGGGUAAAAACACACUUCUGUUCCACAUCAAGAGAAGUAUUCAGUGUUCAUGAAGAAACAGGCACUCAGUCUUAUGUUUUUGUCUCACAGAUAUUGGAACUAUUGCUAGCCUUACUGGGACUCUGUUUGACAAUCUGGAAUGUCCAUUUUUCUCUUCUCUGGUCACCAAUCAGCUUCAUUUUAACUGGAGUAUUGACAGUCUCGGCAGCAAGAACAUGUAAACCAUGUCUGGUCAAAUCCUCACAAAUGCUCAGCUGUUUCAAUACGGCAGCAGCUGCUGUGUCUCUACGCUUUCAUUUUUAUUACAGUUGGGGUGUGAUCUGUUUUCUCCUGAUGGCCUGUGAUACUCUCAUCCUCAUCUUCUCUGUCACUGUUGCUUUGUCCUUCUGUUGCUGCUGCUGCAGACCAAAGUCAAGACGUGUCGAGAUCAGUUACAUGAACGCAGAUUUGCCUGUCAACCAUGUUGUGUUCAUGGGCCAGCCGGACCCGUCUGCAGUGGUACAGUCCUUUAGUUCAGUCAUGUAUGUGCUGCCUGCACCUGCACCUCUGCCAAACUACAGUCCGGUCCUAGAUAUACCUCCACCAGCCUACGACCAGAUCUCAGCUGCACCUCCACCAAACUACAGUUCAGUCCCAAGCGCUCCUCCACCAGCAUAUGAGUAUGAAGAUUUACAGACCAGAAGAUGA